GGCUAGGGAGCCGGGCUGUUCCACGCUCACUGUGCGCCUCGGGCGGCGGGGCUCGGGCUCUGUCCGAGGUGCUGAACUCCGGGGCUCCGGCCGCGCCGGCAGAGUGUGCCAGCGUCCAUUAUUGCCAGUGUCUGUGGGCAUCUUCCAGAAGGCCGAGCAUGGGGGUCAGGUGAAACCAGGGCGGUUUUCCAGGAGAGAAUCCACUUUUUGUUUUAUCUGGGUCAACUCCUUCAUAAUGGCCUGAAGGUCAUCUCCUCUCAACUUUCCAGACUUGGAAGAUCCCUGCUGUCCACUCUUAGAAUUGAGGCCACUUUUGCCCCUUCAUGAGGUGUUUCCUGAUACACGCUGACGUUUUGAGAGCACUACAGCCCAAGCAAUAGGAGGAGGAGGAGGCACACGUGCUGAGUAACUGUACAUCGUGUCAUCAUAAUCACCUUGAUAGUCAUAGCCCAAGUGAAAAGAGGAGCUAUACAUCUCCACUGCAGAUCGUUUCACGCCUGCUUUUCCACGGUUCACUUUUGGCUCUGCAGCCAGGUUAAUAUCUAA
rnacentral:lncRNA from 10 species